rnacentral:rRNA from 1 species
UACGUAGGGGGCCAGCGUUGUUCGGAAUUACUGGGUGUAAAGGGUUCGUAGGCGGUGUGGCAAGUCGGGAGUGAAAUCUCUGGGCUUAACUCAGAGGCUGCUUUCGAAACUGCCGUGCUAGAGUGCGGGAGAGGUAAGCGGAAUUCCUGGUGUAGCGGUGAAAUGCGUAGAUAUCAGGAGGAACACCUGUGGUGUAGACAGCUUACUGGACCGUGACUGACGCUGAGGUACGAAAGCGUGGGUAGCAAACAGG